rnacentral:rRNA from 1 species
AACGAACGCUGGCGGCAUGCCUAACACAUGCAAGUCGAACGGGACCUUCGGGUCUAGUGGCGCACGGGGGCGUGGCGCGUGGGGACCUGCCCUUGGGUUCGGCAUAACUCCCCGAAAGGGGUGCUAAUACGGGCUAAUAUAUUCCGACCAAAGGUUUGUCGCCUUUGGAGGGGCCCGCGUGGUCUUGGCUAGUUGGGAGCGUAAACGCCUACCAAGGCGACGAUCCGUAACUGGUCAGCGAGGAUGAUCCGCGACACUGGGAGUGAGACACGGCCAGGAAUCUUACGCGAGGCAGCAGUGGGGAAUACUGGACUGCCGGCGGAGUCAUGAUCCAGCUAUGCCGCGUGAGUGAUUAAGGCCGGAGGGUUGGAAAGCACGUUUAUCCGGGACGAUAAUGACAGUACCGGCAGAAUAAGCACCGGCUAACUUCGUG